rnacentral:rRNA from 1 species
AUACGGAGGAUGCGAGCGUUAUCCGGAUUUAUUAGGUUUAAAGGGUGUGUAGGCGGUAUUUUAAGUCAGUGGUGAAAUCUCGGAGCUUAACUUCGAAACUGCCAUUGAUACUGGAAUACUUGAGUAUAGUUGAGGUAGGCGGAGUAUGUAAUGUAGCGGUGAAACGCAUAGAUAUUACAUAGAACACCGAUUGCGAAGGCAGCUUACUAAACUAUUACUGACGCUGAUGCACGAAAGCGUGGGGAGCGAACAGGAUUAGAAACCCGAGUAGUCC